GACGGAGGUGCCGAGCGUUAGGCGGAAUCACUGGGCUUAAAGCGUGUGUAGGCGGGCGGGCAAGUACCUUGUGAAAUCCCACGGCUCAACCGUGGAACUGCUGGGUAUACUGCCUGUCUUGAGCCAGCCAGGGGCAGUCGGAACAGACGGUGGAGCGGUGAAAUGCGUAGAUAUCGUCUGGAACGCCAAAGGUGAAAACAGACUGCUGGGGCUGUGCUGACGCUGAGACACGAAAGCCAGGGGAGCGAACGGG
rnacentral:rRNA from 1 species